GGGGGAUAUUGCACAAUGGGGGGAACCCUGAUGCAGCGACGCCGCGUGAGUGAAGGAGUACUACGGUAUGUAAAGCUCUAUCAGCAGGGAAGAAGCAAGACGGUACCUGACCAAGAAGCCCCGGCUAACUACGUGCAAGCAGACGCGGUAAUACGUAGGGGGCGAGCGUUAUCCGGAUUCACUGGGUGUAAAGGGAGCGUAGACGGCAUGGCAAGUCUGGAGUGAAAGCCCAGGGCCCAACCCCGGGACUGCUCUGGAAACUGGUAUGCUAGAGUGCUGGAGAGGUAAGUGGAAUUCCUAGUGUAGCGGUGAAAUGCGUAGAUAUUAGGAGGAACACCAGUGGCGAAGGCGGCUUACUGGACAGUGACUGACGUUGAGGCUCGAAAGCGUGGGGAGCAAACAGG
rnacentral:rRNA from 1 species